ensembl:miRNA
AGGUUACUAAUGGCUCUUACUGAAGACUAGCAGUUUUACCGUAGCUGUUGGUUUCAAGCAGAGGCCUAAAGAACUAUCUUCCUGUGGUUUAUCAGCUA